UACGUAGGGUGCGAGCGUUAUUCGGAAUUACUGGGCGUAAAGUGUGCGCAGGCGGCAAAGCAAGUCGGGUGUGAAAGCCCCGGGCUUAACUUGGGAAUUGCGCUCGAAACUACUUUGCUGGAGUGUGGCAGAGGAAGGUGGAAUUCCACGUGUAGCGGUGAAAUGCGUAGAGAUGUGGAGGAACACCAAUGGCGAAGGCAGCCUCCUGGGCCAGCACUGACGCUCAUGCACGAAAGCGUGGGGAGCAAACAGG
rnacentral:rRNA from 1 species